UUGCAAUGAUGUGAAUCUCUCGCUGAAUUAUACCUUGAAGUACAUGAGCUUUUUAACCCUGAGCAGU
ensembl:snoRNA SNORD36 Small nucleolar RNA SNORD36